GCGGCGAUAGCUCAGUUGGUAGAGCGACACGUUUACACCGUGUAUGUCGGGGGUUCGAGUCCCUCUCGCCGCACCA
rnacentral:tRNA from 1 species